rnacentral:rRNA from 1 species
ACGUCUAGCGAGACUGCCGGUGAUAACCGAGGAAGGCGGGGAGUGACGUCAAAUCAUCAUGCCCCUUAUGAUCUGGGCUACACACGUGCUACAAUGGAUGGUACAACGAGUUGCGAGACCGCGAGGUUCAGCUAAUCUCCUAAAGCCAUUCUCAGUUCGGAUUGCAGGCUGCAACUCGCCUGCAUGAAGCCGGAAUCGCUAGUAAUCGCGGAUCAGAACGCCGCGGUGAAUACGUUCCCGGGUCUU